CCCCGUCAGUCAGGGGCGGGGGCGGGGCGGGGCUGGCGGGCCGUUUGAACGGCGCUGCCGCCGCUGGCGCGGUUCGGGGCGGGCUCCGGGCGGCUCGGCUCGGCUCGGCUCGGCCCGGCCCGGCCCGGCCCGGCCCGGCCGAGGAGCUCCCGCCCGGCCUCCCUCCUCUCCAGAGCGGCCGGGGGCCAAGCGAGGCUCCCUCGGCGGCCGCCGUGUCCCUGCCGGGACGGGCCGCGCGGCUCCCGCUGGCUGCUCCGUUGCCGUCCCGGCAGAGACUUUGCGCUGCGGGGUCCUGGAGCAGCUGCCGCACGACGGAGCAGUGCCCUUCCCUGGCUCAGCACCCAGUGCCAACAGAACACCUUGCAGGAUCCUCAGCAGCGCAGACAACACUCCAAGAUGCCGGCCUCGGCUUGGAACGGAGCGGUGUCAUGGCGGAGACGACGGCCUUUGUCUCGCAGGGUGUGAAAGCAUCCGUUGUGCUGGCUCCACUGCGGCAGAAUGAUGUCUAAAGGGGGGACAAGUGCUGGAAGUCCGAGUGGUGCGGUGCUGGCGGGGGAGUCCCAUCCCCAUGGCGUGCGUCCGAGGAAGGGCUGGCGGCGGAGGAGCCUGGUGCCAGGCGAGGACGGCUUCACAGGAGCACUCAUCCUGGCCAAGGCUGGGAGGAGAGCCACAGCCAUCAGAGAGAACUGGGUUACAGCAGACAUUACAUCCUCGGGGGCUCGCCUGCCUUGUGCGAGUGUGGUGCCAAUGCCCCUGCAGUGCCACAGGGCUGGCUGUGGCUUCCUUCAGCUGGAUGCUCAAGAGCAGAGGAUCUAUCAACUGCAGACCAAGCGGAGGGAGAGGCAGGCAGACCUGGAGCAGAAAUGAAGCCAGAGAAGCAGCUCAGCCAGGACCUGGGGGCCAGCCACCAGCUACGGAAAGGAGCUUGGAGCAGCUUGUUCCAGGAGAAGACAGUGCAAUUUGGUGA
rnacentral:lncRNA from 1 species